CCUACGGGUGGCUGCAGUGGGGAAUAUUGGGCAAUGGGCGCAAGCCUGACCCAGCAACGCCGCGUGAAGGAAGAAGGCUUUCGAGUUGUAAACUUCUUUUCUGAGGGACGAAGAAAGUGACGGUACCGCAGGAAUAAGCCACGGCUGACUAAGUGGCAGCAGCCGCGGUAAUACGUAGGGGGCAAGCGUUAUCCGGAUUUAGUGGGUGUAAAGGGAGUGUAGGCGGGAAAGCAAGUCAGAUGUGAAAACUUAGGGCUCAACCCUGAGCCUGCAUUUGAAACUGUUUUUCUUGAGUGCUGGAGAGGCAAUCGGAAUUCCGGGUGUAGCGGUGAAAUGCGUAGAUAUACGGAGGAACACCAGUGGCGAAGGCGGAUUGCUGGACAGUAACUGACGCUGAGGCGCGAAAGCGUGGGGAGCAAACAGGAUUAGAUACCCUAGUAGUC
rnacentral:rRNA from 1 species